rnacentral:precursor_RNA from 12 species
CUUCACUGACAGAGAAAACAGCUGGAGAGGAGUGGCAGUCAGGACCUGGAGCUGAUAAGGGUUUUCUCUUCAGUCUUUGGCCUGCCUCUCCUUGCCAGGUGUGCUGGUCUCCCAUCUACUG